rnacentral:rRNA from 1 species
GGCGUGCCUAACACAUGCAAGUCGAACGCGGUUAGUAGCAAUACUAACUGAGUGGCGAACGGGUGAGUAACACGUGGGUGACCUACCUUCUAGUGGGGGAUAACGUCCCGAAAGGGACGCUAAUACCGCAUAACAUCCUGCCCUUGAACGGGUGGAGAUCAAAGCCGGGGAUCGUAAGACCUGGCGCUGGAAGAGGGGCCCGCGUCUGAUUAGCUAGUUGGUGGGGUAACGGCCCACCAAGGCGACGAUCAGUAGCUGGUCUGAGAGGAUGAUCAGCCUCACUGGGACUGAGACACGGCCCAGACUCCUACGGGAGGCAGCAGUGGGGAAUAUUGGACAAUGGGCGCAAGCCUGAUCCAGCCAUGCCGCGUGGGUGAUGAAGGCCCUAGGGUUGUAAAGCCCUUUCGGCGGGGAAGAUAAUGACGGUACCCGCAGAAGAAGCCCCGGCUAACUUCGUGCCAGCAGCCGCGGUAAUACGAAGGGGGCUAGCGUUGCUCGGAAUCACUGGGCGUAAAGCGCACGUAGGCGGCUUGUUAAGUCAGGGGUGAAAUCCUGGAGCUCAACUCCAGAACUGCCUUUGAUACUGGCGAGCUUGA